rnacentral:rRNA from 1 species
GCCGUAGGGAAACCAAGUCUUAAGAGGGCCUUAAGUCAGUAGGAGUAGACCCGAAACCGGGUGAUCUAUCCAUGUCCAGGUUGAAGCUGCCGUAAGAGGUAGUGGAGGACCGAACCCACAUCCGUUGAAAAGGGUGGGGAUGAGGUGUGGAUAGGGGAGAAAUUCCAAUCGAACCCGGAGAUAGCUGGUUCUCCUCGAAAUAGCUUUAGGGCUAGCCUCGAUACAGAUUUGCGGAGGUAGAGCACUGAAUUUCCUAGGGGGCGUCAAAGCCUACCGAAGAAUAUCAAACUCCGAAUGCCGCGUAAUCGAUUAUCGGGAGUCAGACUGCACGAGAUAAGUUGGGCGGUCAAAAGGGAAAGAGCCCAGACCUUCAGUUAAGGUCCCCAAGUGCGCGUUAAGUGGAAAAGGAUGUGGGAUUUCGAAGACAACCAGGAUGUUGGCUCAGAAGCAGCCAUCCAUUCAAAGAGUGCGUAAUAGCUCACUGGUCGAGAGGUCCUGCGCCGAAAAUGUCCGGGGCUGAAACGCGCCACCGAAACUAAGGAACCGAAAGGUUGGUAGAGGAGCAUUGCAUGCGGGAAGAAGCAGUACCGUAAGGAGCUGUGGACUGCAUGGAAGAGAGAAUGCCGGAAUGAGUAGCGAGAAUAAGGUGGGAAUCCUUAUGGCCGAAUAUCCAAGGUUUCCAGAGUAAAGCUGAUCUGCUCUGGGUAAGUCGGGGCCUAAGGCGAGGACGAGAGUCGUAGCCGAUGGACAACAGGUGGAGAUUCCUGUACUGCGGUAUGACAGAACUGUGGGGACACGUAAGGAAAGCGGAAGCCGGGGAUGGAUUGUCCCGGUGCAAGCGGGGUACCAGUCACUUUGGCAAAUCCGGGUGGCAAUGGGAAGCCGUGAUGCGGAGUGAAAUAAAGUAACGAAGUCCGUGAGCCAUGCGUCAAGAAAAGCCGCUAUCGUUUAUACCGUACCCGUACCGUAAACCGACACAGGUGGAUGAGGAGAGAAUCCUAAGGCCGGCGGAAGAAGCAUUGUCAAGGAACUCGGCAAAAUGGCCCCGUAACUUAGGGAUAAGGGGUGCCUGGGAAACCAGGCCGCAGAGAAUAGGCUCAAGCAACUGUUUAGCAAAAACACAGGUCUAUGCGAAACCGAAAGGUGAGGUAUAUGGGCUGACGCCUGCCCGGUGCUGGAAGGUUAAGAGGAGAGGUUAGCGGUAACGCGAAGCUUUGAAUUUAAGCCCCAGUAAACGGCGGCCGUAACUAUAACGGUCCUAAGGUAGCGAAAUUCCUUGUCGGGUAAGUUCCGACCCGCACGAAAGGCGUAAUGAUUUGAGCGCUGUCUCGACAAUGCAUCCGGUGAAAUUGAAGUACCAGUGAAGAUGCUGGUUACCUGCGCCAGGACGGAAAGACCCCAUGGAGCUUUACUCCA